ACGUGGUACUUGUAAGAUCUUAUAACUUGCCAUUGUUCUGCAUCAGCCUAACAGAGCACCACUUCUCUCCAGGUUCAGGAGAGAAACCAUCACUGCACACGAUGCUUUUCCUCCCAGCUGCUGCUCUGUGCUGUCUGUGUUCAGCGCUGGUUACCAUGGCUGCAGAGCUGAUGCAGAAAGAUUUAACUUUGACUGCAACACCUGGCAAAAAAGUCUCCUUCAGCUGUGGAACUGCCCAGUGCAGUGGCAGCUAUGUGCACUGGUACCAGAAGAAAGACGAUGAUAAGUUCAGAGUGAUUCUUCAUAUUAACAUACGCACUGGUGAAGUCGACAGUGACUACAACCAUGCUCAGAAAAAAGAUUUCUCAGCUGUGAAAAAUGAGAACAGCUGUGAGUUGGAGAUAAAUGCAGUUAGCCUCGUUCAUUCAGCCAUCUACUACUGCUGCUGUGCUCAAAGCUCUCACAGUGACAAAACAUCCCUGCAGACUGAACAAAAACCAUCAAAGGAACAGCAGCAGACCACAGACCAGACCGUUCAUUGAUUCCAGACAAUCGCUGUCAGCUGUGUCCACCAGGCUCUCCUGACACUGCCCCUGAACUCCUGUGCAGCUGAGCCACAGACUACACCCUGCCACAGCAAAUGAAUCCUGUUACAGUGCUACUCCAUCAAAACAUUGUUGAGAAGUUUAAUUCUGAAUGAAGCUGCCAACCUGCUGUUUGGACAAGAAGAAACUUGUGAAACAAAGGUCAGCUCAGGUAGCUCAUCAUCUGGAGGCAGAAGUUAUGCAGAAUAUUCAGCUUCAUGCAGUUUUUACAACAUUAAUUCA